CUCGGAUAUGUCUUUAUAAGCAGUGUGAAAACAGACUAAUACAGAGACCCAGCGGGUGGAGACCUCCAGCUCCUCAUCCCUCAAGAUACAGGAAGUGAGCUGUUCAGGCCGCCUGUUCCCCGACGAGGUGCGUGGUUUUGGAGAUUAAUGUUAGCGGUCUUUGUGGGAGGCACUAGGAGGGCUCCCUUUAAGAAGCCCAGAGUGCGGAAACACUGAUUGUGACAUGUGAAUGUGCUCCAUGAGAAGAUGGCAGGUAUCGGAACGUGUGGAGGAAACUGAAAAGUAAAGACCGCCUAAAGAUUGAAACUACCAUUCAGGUAAGUUCCAGGGGACAGAAACAAGCUCUCUGAAGACUCUCAUUAAUCUUUG
rnacentral:lncRNA from 10 species